rnacentral:lncRNA from 1 species
CAAUGGAAUAAUGAGCGUAUUCUACCACCAAUAAUUGGCGUAUUAUCGACUGAUAUUAGAUUAACAUGUCGAAAUCAACUUACACAACGAGGAGUAUUCGUUCCGAUCCGAUUCCUUGGACUUUUGAUCUAGAGUCAGUCAGAUUCUUACCAGAGUAGUCCACCUGGGUAAGGAUCAUCGUCCACCAAUCUAUUCUGUCUGCCAGUAUACUUCCACUUGUCUGGCCCAAGGUGGAGAGGGUCUGAGUUGUCGAACUGAUGCAACGAUCGUCAUUUAUCCAUUUUUCUGUUUUUUUCUUUUCUUUUUGCGUUUAUCACUUUCAUGACUGUCAUGGUUACGAGGUAACGGAGUGCGGAAGGGCAUUUGGGAGGUUAGGGCUAGUGAUUAGGGAUCUUUUAAGCUGGACAGCCAGAGUACGGAUUUAAUAUCGAACACUAACUCGCAGGCCGUUGCUUUUAUCUAUUUUGUCUAUCGCGGGAAUAAAUUGAGUUAACCUUCCAUAUCAAAUUUCACUCGGGUCAGGCUAUCCGUAGUCUCUGAGCUCUGUAUCGCGUUGCUCUAAGAAAGACAUCCACGAUGGAUGAUGUCAGGUCGUCUGCAAUCGAUACCUAAGGUUGCGACGAAUACGAUUGAAUGAGUUAAUCAACAAAGUUAAUUUGCAAGAUCAUCUUAGGUAAUCUAAUCAUAAGAUUUCAUAAAAUUCCGUGGCUCUCCGCACGGCUAUGAUGGUGUAUAACGGCCGAGUUAGACUGUAGAUGGGAUGGCUGUGCAACGUCAAUAACUAUCGAAUCAGCUUUUUAUGACGGCCACACACCCAAUGGCGACUCCUAUAUUUCCGGAUUACGGGUUUAUCAGCCACGACAUUGACGGCAUGGUGCCAGGUGUGUCGAAGAUUCAAUGUUUCUGCCUAGUUCUCUAAGGCCACACCCAUCGUCGUUGAAGUCACAGCCCUGAUCGAUCGACGGGAAAAAAUGAUGGAUGAACUCAGUGUCGGCAUGUCACGAUUACAUAUUCAAUAUAAAACGGUCGAUCUGAGAGAUAUGACGGAGCUCCUGUCUAGGUAGGUAAGCGCUUAGAAGCGUUUUAGUGUCUAAUAUCCAUGUCCAAUCCCCAUUGUCCAACCAAAAUACAUACCUACGACGUAUUUGCUCAAUAUCACGCCAAUUCCGAGGAGUUUACCCUAGCCACAUACAAAGUACACCACGAUCUUUUCACACAACAAACACAAAGAUAUCAUUACCAUACAAAGAAUCAACAUGCCAAAGAUACAUGCCAAACCAUCCAAGCAAUACAGUACAAUACAUUACCAAAACAUCAUACUACAGAUGGUACACAAUUCCAGCCAAUGCGUAGCUCCACUGGGCGAAAGUGCGGAGAAGUCUUCCACAGUUUUUUUUUUUAUAUCUGGAUACUCUUUUUUUUUUUUUUAACACGUACGUCCCUGAGUAUCUGAUCUGGUACCUAGAUAGUAGGGGAAUGGGCUGGGUCAUAAUGACGGCGGUGAUUUCAAACACAUCAAUAUCAACUGACCGGGCAUCGUGUUGAUCUGGUGGAUAUCAACGACACCGGAUAUACUCAAUAUCACUGCGGAUAUACUAACAAGAGCGACAAUAUGUACAACUAUGUACUACAAAACCCCUAAUUGGUCAUGACUGUAGCUUUCUCUCGAGUCGUACAUU